CGAGCACCUAUGAAGACCGGCACGGCAAACGACCAGGACGAUCAGCGAGGACAGGCAGCGCACGGGGCUCCAUUAACCACUCAAGCCGUCGCUCGCCGGAGCGCCACUCUGCGUGAUGAGCUGUCAGCGCCUACAGACGUCGCCAGGAUGCGCAAAAAGCUGAUGAGCCAUUCGCAUGGCCCCUUCAUCCAUAGCUUUUAAGUGUGCAUUUUAAUAAAGCAACUAUUUUGAUUUUUUUUGUGUGGAAUUGGGCUCUACAUUCAUUUUUUAACGAAAGAUCUGUUGUACGUGCCAUUUUUGUGAGAGUGCUAUUAAAGAGUGCAAACAGUGAA